UCAUAUUUGGAUGUCAAAUAUCAUUAGCGAAAUGUGUGUGAUACACUCUAUACGCUGUAAUGUACUUCGAAAUGGUUAAUUUAAUGUUGUUAUUAUUACAUAAUUUAAAAUGGAUGUAAAAAUAAAAUAUGAUCGCAGCCAUCAAUGUACAUCAUAUUAAACUUUUGUUCCAAUCCUGUUCCAUCAGCUCCAAAAUAUAGCAAAAACAGGAUCAGGCUUGUAUAGCCAUUAUUUACUUCAAAAAAGGACGAUCUCCCUAUUGAACAAACCUCCUGGUGGUGAUAAAAAAUAUAUAUUAUAUAAAUGCUAGUUACUCCUAUAAGUUUUCUUAUGCCACUGAUUGAUACAUAUGUUAAAUUAACCAAAGUCUCAGUGAGUAAACUAACGCGUUUCUUAUUUCUUAAUGUACCAUAACCUGUUGUCACUACCAUUCUGCAAUUGAUGUUUCACCUGCAAUUAAUAACAUUCUUAGCUAAUCAGCAGUAACAUUCUUUAUAAGCAACAAUCACUUGCACAUAACGUGUGGUAGCAUGGAUAUUUUCUUCCCACAUGUAAGUACCUAUAUAGCAUGAGAUGUAAUCUACAAUUAUAGUUCAUUUCAUCAAAUAUCAACCUAUUAUGGGACUCGUUGAUCAAUGAAACAUCACUCCUAGGCAUUGUAGGAUAAUCUUCAUUCAUGUCUUCACUCAAGUGCAUAACUCUUCAACUGAUCUUCAUCUAACACUAAAUCUGCAGCAACCAAUGCAUCACAUAAUUACAUUAAUAUAAUCAGCAGUCAAUGAAGGCAUUGUUAUAAAGCUUACUGAAUGGUAGGUAUAAAUUACAUUAACAGAUCUCGCAUGGAUUGCGAUUGAAUAUUUUAUACUGGUUAUUUUGUUUUAAGCAGUAAAUUACAUUAAACUCAUGUGCUUCGAUUAGUUGGUUAAACAGAUUAAACUUCUACCCCACUGGAAGUUUGCGUGGCAUAUGCAUCCUACUGGAACUUUCACAAACAUCCUAAAUUCACGUGCUAGAUAAACCAACCUUUAUUUUAUAAUAUGCAACUUAUUCAUUUACCAUUAAUUACUCCCAAUACAUAGUAACAUGAUGCAAAAAUACAUAGACAUUCAACAUGAUGUGACUAUAUGUAAAAACUAUCAAGUAUAUGUUGAUAAAUUUAAAAAAAAGUUGGAAGAAUAUGAAAAAAAAUCAUUACCUUGUACACGUAAUAUCAUUCGUUGCCGAUAAAGGACACCAUCACUGAGGUGUUCCCAUGUUUUACUCCAAACAUAUUCAGGCCCAGAAAAUUGGUUUGAUACCAGCAAGAUAUCGAACAAUAGACUCACAUAAGAACAACAACACAUUUAAUUCAUUGACUCAUAAUGCGUUUUGCUCAUAAUGCAUUUUGCAAAAUAUUAGCCACAACAAUGCUUGAUUAAUUGUGUGGCCUUUCAAUGUGUAUAUAGCUUUUGACAACUUUUACUUAGUCCUGUAUAUGCACUGAUCAGGCUUUGCAAAAUGGAUCUUGUUAACUUAUAACUGAUAUUUUCUCAGCAAUAAAAAAAAAACUACUAAAUGAGCUUAUAUGGUUUUGUAGAUAAAACUAAAGAUACUUAAUACUACUAAUCAAUAAUAUGCAUUUUCCAAUGUGGUAUAUCUUGUGAUCCUACACCAUUAAUAGUAUGAAUGAAAAUUGUGGCAAGAUAUAGCUUUCCAUGAAAAAAUACAUAGUAUGAAAGAUAGAUUCCUAGAGCUUGAAACCGAUCUCACAUGUAAGUUCUGUUUGGUUGUAGUUAAUUUCACAUGAACUAACAAAGUAAACAUUGAAAGGAAAAAAAGAAGCAAUAGAUGAGCAAUCAACAUCUUCAUACAGUGACAGUCUAAAUGAUAAGCAAGGAGGGUUGGACCUAAAUGAAUCCAUAUCUCCACACAAUACUUAUACACAUAUCCAUAUAGACAGAUUUUCAAAUUUAAGGUCUAGUUAUCAUGAGUAGAUUAGAUAACACUGAGUACAAAAACCAAAAGAAGCAUGUUAACUUUGGCACCCAUUGAUUUUCAUUUUAAGAACAUUUGAAGAUAAGCAAUCAACAAUCUAUGUUUGAUUAUACUUGUCUCCAAGUACUUCUUUUGUGUCAUAAAAGUAAGUGAUUCAUAAUAUAAUAAAUUAUACAACAAAUAACUGAUGAAGAAUGCAAGUUUGGUGAUAUUAUUUGUUAAAAUAAAAAUGAAGGAUCAUGCACUAAAAUCAUAAAAUUCUCACAAUAAGGCAAUAUCACUUACAUUGGAGAUGUCAAAUUCAAUAUUUUAUGUCAUAGUUUCAACAGGUUCGUUCGUAUAGCAAACAC
rnacentral:lncRNA from 1 species